GACGUUUUUCAAGUGCUGUUAUUUUCGUCAUCGCAUCUUCUUGUUGGCCAUUAUGAGCAUUUGAAUAUGGCAGCCAAGCUAGCGUUGAUAAUCCUUUUUUUAACUGUUAAAAGUAAGCCGUGGGUACUUAAUAUCUAAUAUUUUUCUACAUAAAUUGUAGUAUAAUAUCUCCCAACUCUUUCUGGAAAGCCUCAUAACUCAGAAAAACCAAAUAUUUUCGCCCAGCUUUUUGACAAAUUUUGUUUUGGCCCUGUAAUAUUUUAGAAGUUGAACGAUUUUUGUUUAUUGUGAGCACUUGAGUGAAAAAAUUAACUUGUCUUGG